CCCCGAGUCGACCAGAACUUCGGAGACUCCCCCGACACGACAGACGGAUCCCCAUCGUCCGGACCACUGAGGAUCUCGCCUGUGUUGAAGAACCCCGAGGGACAUGAAGACCACCUAAUCCAUGAUAAAACUGGUAAUACUUUUCUGCAUCCUACCACAACCCCAUGGCCAGAAACCAGCUGAGUGGCCGUGGUCUGAACUAAUUGUGGUAGCAUGCAGAAAAAGUGAAAGGAUCUCUUUAAGCACAAAAAGGUGUGUACGCACCCAAGCAUACAGGAUUGUUGGCACAAUUACACAUUAACACAAACUGUAGAAGUAGUUUGGUUUUGGUCCAAAAAUACCGAAGCACUUUUUUUUGUUUUGUUUUGUUUUUGUUUUUGUUUUUGUUUUUUAAGUUUAAAGUAUUGAUUCAAAUACUGGAGUAGGACUUGAUGUUAAUGUUGUGACACCUACCACCCAACCACUGGUUACACUUAGCCCGAAAAUCUUUGGAAUUGGACCAUAUAUAAUCAGGAAAACUGGCCAACAACAGAUAUUGUUUAAUCUGUUAUGGUCUCUUAAACAAGUCAAAUUGCUGAUGCAAAACAAUAUCUCAGAAAUACAACCAGCUUGUUCACCCUUUUUGCAGACCUCUUUUCAGGGUUGGACAACCUGGCUGCGACAGUGGAACCCUCCUAAAAACCGGGUGCCAAGAGACGUAACUGGUCUUGUGGGGACAGGAUUGGGAAUCCUAAAUAGUAUUGAUUCAGAAGUAUUAAUGAAUAAAUUGGCUUCCACAACUAAAGAUUUAACCAAAAUACAACAACCACUGCAAUCAUCCUUAUCAGCCUUGGGAACACAUCAGUGGUUGCUAUCAAACAUUCUACCAAAUUGGGAAAAGAUAAAUGUAAAUAAUAGCAAAUUGAUAAUUGAUGGACUUAAUGCCACACAAAGCAACGUUUCCUUAGCUCUUAGCUGUAUCCAGGCUCAAUUAUGGAUGCAGUCAGUUGCUGCCUCAAUUAUAAGAGAAGGUGAAGAAGGCACUUUUCCUACUGAGAUUAGGAAAAUAGUCUGGGACAGUGCCACUGACUUCGAAAGAGAUUUCCAAUCCUGGUGGAAUUUAGUGAAUUUUACCUAUGACCCUAACACAAACACAGCCACAGCAUUUGUGCUGACCAUAAGAAAUGCCUCGGUGCAUUUGAUAUUCCCUAUCAUUGCACUAGGAUUAAAUCAUGAUGGACCCACUUUCUAUCCUUCUGAACAUAGAGAAUGGGCCCGUCAAAUUGAUGACAAAUGGCAAACUGUCAAUUUAGAGUCCUGUACCAUCUGAGAACAACUAGGGUUUAUCUGUGAAGCUCCAGUUACUUCACAUGAACUUUUAGAAUCCAAUCUCACGUUGAUUCACAAGCUACUGCCUACUCCCAUUGGGAUGAACCUUACUCUGGUAAAGCAAUUAUUACUUCAUCAAGAUCUAAUAGAGAUCCUAGGAAAAAUCAAGGGGAAUGGACAGAAAACUCUGGUAACUGUUCAUCAUGAUGUGCAAGAAAUACAUCGUGUUGUAGAAAGGGUGAAAAGUGAUGCUGAGCACAAGUGGUGGGAUACCCUUUUCGGGUGGUCACCCACCACCACCGGUAUCCUGAACAAAUUGUGCCAUCCCAUUGUUGUUCUUCUGGUUUUAGUUAUGAUUGGUUUUGUUUUAUCAGUAAUCUUGCUUAUUGUAAAUUGGAGAAUGAUGAAACGAUGAACAAAAUUAACAUCUAUAAUUAAUGCACACCACUUGGCCGACAUCCUUUACACUAUAGAUGUUCCCAGGACUGUAGACACAAGAAGAUUAUAAGUUUUCCUGUUUUCUCUUUCUUUCCCUUUUCCUCUUCUCUUUUCCCUGCGACGUGCUGCCAACACUUGACGAGUCCUGAAGACUCCACGACGACACCAUGGAAUCCUGCUGAUGAAGAUCUUUCGAGGGCAAUCGUCAGUCACGGGGUGGUGUAAGAGCCCGUCUGAAGCCCCUCAUUUUCCAUUCUGCCUUCCGAUUGCCACAAGAAAGAAUCCCAUCCCCCACUGUAGUUCCGGCUUAGAACAGGACACAGCACAGGUGGAACCACUGAACCGUCACGCUGGCUGUUCCGAACAAGGCCUGGUAAGAACUUGGCAAGGACUUGGCAAGGACUUGGCAAAGACCUGACGUGGACCCAGCACGGGACAGCCUGAUGCGCGGCCUGCUUCUAAUCUCCGUUCUUAAGCCAAAUGAACUUUUGGGGUGACUCCCGGGGUCCUUCAUUGAAGACCCCUCAUCUGCCUCGUUACCACUGUGACAAACAAAGAAUGAGAACCCUCCUCCCAAGGACUGAGACUGAGACCCCUGCUAUAGGGAGGAGGGGAAAUUGGUGGUCUGACCACUAAUGACAUGACCUGUUUCCCUUCAGUGAUUCAAAUGGACUUAUUCUUCAUUGGAUUCGUCUUGCUUUGGUGGUUACUGUGGACUCACCUGUUCCCUCGGGGCGAUUACAAUGGACUUUCAUUAUUACACUUGUUCCCCCCCUCUCUCCUCUGUGGACUAUAAUUGGACCCCCAAGUCGACCAGAACUUCGAAGACUCCCCCGACACGACAGAUGGAUCCCCAUCGUCCGGAGCACUGAGGAUCUCGCCUGUGUUGGUAGCUAUUCCCAUAUCCCUCUUCUCUCUCUAUCCUUUUAUCUCCUUUCAGAUCCCCACUAUCGCGUUUACUGUUUUGGCCCCUAAUAAAGGUGCAUUUGUUGUGAUUAA